rnacentral:lncRNA from 10 species
GUUGGAAAAGGGCAGCAGCUCCCGGGAGGAUGCGCCCCCGGCGUGGGAAGCCGAGGAACCGGCGCGCGGCGCGCGGCGCGUGGCGCGUGGCGAGUCGGGGAGAGACUGGUCUUGCUCGCUCAGGAGACCCUCAUCGCCCACAGAGCGCCCGCGGCGACCCGGUCACGGCCCUUCCAUUUCCUGACCCUGCUUAAUGACAGCGAGGUGAAAACAUCUACCAAACGAAGGGUAAAAGGCUGGAGUCCGCCAAAAGCCAAUUUAAGGCUUAACAUUGCAGACCGUUUGUCUUUACAAAAGCUUCAAAGACGGGGCUGCAGCUCCCGGUUAUCCCCACUUUGUCAAGCCAUGAAUCUGAAUGUUCGUGGGGUUGUGUGCAUCGAAUCAGCAAGAGCAAGGCAAGAAUUCAAGAAAUAGUUCUUUUUUAUCCCCCCUUCCAAGUCACAGGUUCAGAGGAUCAUCAUCUUUCUCCCACAUUAGCAAAACAUAUUUGCAUUUUUCAGUGAAGUUCUUUACCGCACGAGUGCCCUAAAAUAGCAAACAGUUCCCUGUUCAAAAGCAAUAGUAAAGAAAUUCGCCGAAGAGUUUAAUUGCCUGGGGACAGCUGCAGUAGUCGCAUCAUCGUCUCUUAUUAAACUGUUGCAGAAAUAUUCGGUCUAGUCCAUGUAUUUUCAACUAAAUAGCACUGCUUACGCAGUUGGUGAUAUGGUGAUAUCACGGAAGUAGCAAUAAACCUUGGUUAUCUUUUUUUUUUUUUUUUUUGAGACGGAGUCUCGCUCCGUCGCCCAGGCUGGAGUGCAACGGCGCGACCUCUACUCACCACAACCUCAGCCUCCCGGAUUCAAGCGAUUCUCCUGCCUCAGCACUACCACCCCCACCAGCCCCCAACCCCUGCCGAGUAACUGGGACUACAGGCGUGCGCCAUCCGUGCCCGCUCAUUUUUGUAUUUUCAGUAGAGACUGGGUUUCACUAUGUUGGCCAGGCUGGUCUCAAACUCCUGACCUCGUGAUCCGCCCACCUCAGCCUCCCAAAGUGCUGGGGGGAUUACAGGUGUGAGCCACCGCGCCCGGCCAACCUUGGUUAUCUUCAAAUGCCUUGUUACCUCAGAUUUUAAAGUGCAUAAGGUUGUAGAACGAUGGUGCCUCUACAGAAGUUUCUUUACAAAUUGUAAUGUGUAGGAGAUAAAUUAUCACAUUUUAAGUUACUGUAAAUCAAUAGCUUAGGUAGAAAUUCAUUUAGUCAGAUCCUUCAGAUAUUCUAGGAAUUUCCCCUUUUCACCUGCACUUCACUUCUGUGAAAAAUAAACCGUUCAUCAAAAGUCCUCAUGUACUUUUAUUAAAAGUUCAUUUCCUAUUAUUUUAGAAAAUAGACCACGAAACUAGAGAUUUUCUAUGAACCUGUGAUUUGUUAAAAUGUCUCUUUUAUUCGAAGUACCGUGGGGAAAACCAACUCAAUUUGCCAAAUUUGCAUACAUAUUCUGAAGCUUUUCUUACACUAAUGGCAAACUCAUAUUUCUGUUCCAAUAUUUGCAGAGCCAAUAUAAUUACACGUCAGCUCUUCAUAGCCUUUAUGUAGUAAGAAAUCUUAACUUUGAUGAUUUGAGCAAGGAUUUUUCCAGAAAGUU